rnacentral:lncRNA from 1 species
UGUGGCAUUUACUCUAUAUUUUUAACUGUUUUUUUCUAAUAGAAUUUUAGAACUCAUUGGCGACAGGCGUGCGGGAGGUCAGUUGGCUUUAGGUUGCAAUUGUUUCAUUGCAAUAAAUUAUGAAUAAUUCAACCUGUGCUAUUCAAAUUUUGAUAUAGUGGGUUACUGUUGACAAAAUUGAGGUCAAGUUCAAUUUUUACUUUUGCUGUUCAGGAAUUUAUAUGGU